UGCGUAGGUGGCCAGGUAAGUUCGGUGUGAAAGCUCGGAGCUUAACUCCGAAAUGGCAUUGAAUACUAUCUGGCUAGAGGGUCGGAGGGGAGGACUGGAAUUCUCGGUGUAGCAGUGAAAUGCGUAGAUAUCGAGAGGAACACCAGUGGCGAAGGCGAGUCUCUGGACGACUCCUGACACCGAGGCACGAAAGCCAGGGGAGCAAACA
rnacentral:rRNA from 1 species